AUGCAAGUCGAGGGGCAUCAUGAGGGUAGCUUGCUACCCUUGAUGGCGACCGGCGGAUGGGUGCGUAACGCGUAUCCAACCUGCCCGUGUCCCGGGCAUAGCCCGUGGAAACGCGGAUUAACUCCCGAUGGCGCAGCCGGGCCGCAUGGCUUUGCUGCCAAAUUUCGAGGACACGGAUGGGGAUGCGUACCAUUAGGUAGUCGGCGGGGUAACGGCCCACCGAGCCAUCGAUGGUUAGGGGUUCUGAGAGGAAGGUCCCCCACACUGGUACUGAGACACGGACCAGACUCCUACGGGAGGCAGCAGUGAGGAAUAUUGGUCAAUGGCCGAGAGGCUGAACCAGCCAAGUAGCGUGCAGGACGACGGCCCUACGGGUUGUAAACUGCUUUUAUGCGGGGAUAAAACGCGCCACGCGUGGCGUCUUGCAGGUACCGCAUGAAUAAGGACCGGCUAAUUCCGUGCCAGCAGCCGCGGUAAUACGGAAGGUCCGGGCGUUAUCCGGAUUCAUUGGGUUUAAAGGGAGCGCAGGCGGGAUGCUAAGCCAGCCGUCAAAUGUCGCCGCUCAACGGCGGAACGCGGUUGGAACUGGUGUUCUUGGG
rnacentral:rRNA from 1 species